rnacentral:rRNA from 1 species
CCUACGGGAGGCAGCAGUGAGGAAUAUUGGUCAAUGGCCGAGAGGCUGAACCAGCCAAGUCGCGUGAGGGAAGACGGCCCUACGGGUUGUAAACCUCUUUUGUCGGGGAGCAAAGCGAGUCACGUGUGACUCAUUGAGAGGACCCGAAGAAAAAGCAUCGGCUAACUCCGUGCCAGCAGCCGCGGCAAUACGGAGGGUGCAAGCGUUACUCGGAAUCACUGGGCGUAAGGAUCGAGUAGGCGGGAUAGCAAGUCAGAUGUGAAAGCCUAUGGCUUAACCAACGAACGGCAUUUGAAACUGUUAUUCUAGAGAAUGGGAGAGGGAGGUGGAAUUCUUGGUGUAGGAGUAAAAUCCGUAGAGAUCAAGAGGAAUACUCAUUGCGAAGGCGACCUGCUAGAACAUAACUGACGCUGAUGCGCGAAAGCGUGGGGAGCAAACAGGAUUUGAUACCCGAGUAGUC